AGAUUCUGAGCUUUUGGGUCAUCCAGAUUUUGGGAGAGGACAGAGGCUGUUCCACAGCAACACUGCUGUUCUCAGAUGGACCCCAAAGCCGUGGACAACAUGAACUCAGAGCCUUCUAGGAUUGAUCUGGAUGCACAGGCCCACUUGUCCUCGCUCAGGGGAGCAGUGAUCAACCUUUGCAGAGAGGGCUGUAAUCCCCAUUUUCCAUUACUGGCAGGCAUGAAGCAAACUGACACUUCAUAACGCAUUUUGUAAUCCUGUUGGGAUGAAAAAAUCCCAGCAGCAUAAUCCUCACUUGGCCUUGUGACUCUCUUGUGUACAAAAAAAUAAAAGAAGAACUGUGCA